UUUGUCGAUCGACAGUUCGCGAGGUGACACACGAAAAUGCAAUCAGUCAUUUAUUUCCACUUGGCAUAGUCUACCUUCAUUGAAAGAAUAGAGCAACGAAAAGCAGCCGUACUGCCCCGACGAACUCGGGGAUUUUCCACGUUGACCUCGGAUGGCGGCCAAAUUACUUUUGGCACCAAAAAUUCUCCGAGACUAGUCCUGCAUGGACGCGCACAGGAGUGGAGAGGAUGCGACCAAUGAAAUUGGCUGCCAAAAGCCUGUAGGGGCCAGCGUGAACGUCUGGUCGGAACUGCUCCGGCCGGAAGGUGUGCAAAGUCAAACUGCCAUUAGGUGAUGACGUGAUUAGAUUAUUUGUCGUUGCAGUUGACACUGCAGACGUAGAAGAUUGAUUCGACUGUAUUCCACAUGCCUCUGCCUGUCGCGUUGCUGCCUAAACGUUCUUUAAGAUCAAGUAUAACGUUCAUUACAACUCAAAUGAACAGGGGAAGAGAAUUGUGUUAACGUAAUCGUCAAUAUUGUUGUUGCUGACCAGUGUGAAUGCUCGCUUGUCUUCCAGCCUUAACAUUGAAAGUGGGAGUUGCUUGUUCGAUGAUGGGAGAGAUGUAAACCAAUGGCAGUUUCCCCACUAAAGAAGAACACAAUAUCUUAAUAGAAAUGAGUGAAGCUUUCUCUCCAGGUAGAAAUUUGAAGCGUGCUGGAUUCUUCCAAUGGAUUGGGCCCAGUAAUGCUUUCUUUUCUUCUGGUUGAAACGUGUCAUAUUCAGGACAGUUCCCAUAUAUGUCAAUGAUGGAUUCUUGAAGCAUAGCCCACUGGAUGUAAUAGCUAAAGCCUGGAGCUUCCCUAUCUUGCCCGUUCAAUCGUUUUGACGCACUCCCUACCUCCUUUUUUCCAACUUGGAAUGGACUUCAGCGCGUUCUACUGGUGUCGAAGAACAACAUUUUUCAAAAUAUAAACAUGCCGUUUUUACAAAUACU
rnacentral:lncRNA from 1 species